rnacentral:rRNA from 1 species
GGUAGUGUAGUUAACACCUGCAUUAUUUGACGUUACCUACAGAAGAAGCACCGGCUAACUCCGUGCCAGCAGCCGCGGUAAUACGGAGGGUGCGAGCGUUAAUCGGAAUUACUGGGCGUAAAGCGCAUGCAGGCGGCCUGUUAAGUCAGAUGUGAAAGCCCGGGGCUUAACCUCGGAAUUGCAUUUGAAACUGGCAGGCUAGAGUCUUGUAGAGGGGGGUAGAAUUUCAGGUGUAGCGGUGAAAUGCGUAGAGAUCUGAAGGAAUACCAGUGGCGAAGGCCGCCCCCUGGACAAAGACUGACGCUCAGAUUCAAAGCGUGGGGAGCAAACGGAUUAGAUCCCCGGUAGUCCACGCCGUAAACAUGUCUACUUGGAGGUUGUGGCCUUGAGCCGUGCUUUGGGAGCUAGCGUUAAGUAGACCGCCGGGGG